AGUGAACGCUGGCGGUAGGCCUAACACAUGCAAGUCGAACGGCGGCACAGUAAGAGCUUGCUCUUACGGGUGGCGAGUGGCGGACGGGUGAGGAAUACAUCGGAAUCUACUUUUUCGUGGGGGAUAACGUAGGGAAACUUACGCUAAUACCGCAUACGACCUACGGGUGAAAGCAGGGGAGCUUCGGACCUUGCGCGAUUGAAUGAGCCGAUGUCGGAUUAGCUAGUUGGCGGGGUAAAGGCCCACCAAGGCGACGAUCCGUAGCUGGUCUGAGAGGAUGAUCAGCCACACUGGAACUGAGACACGGUCCAGACUCCUACGGGAGGCAGCAGUGGGGAAUAUUGGACAAUGGGCGCAAGCCUGAUCCAGCCAUACCGCGUGGGUGAAGAAGGCCUUCGGGUUGUAAAGCCCUUUUGUUGGGAAAGAAAAGCAGCAGGUUAAUACCCCGCUGUUCUGACGGUACCCAAAGAAUAAGCACCGGCUAACUUCGUG
rnacentral:rRNA from 1 species